rnacentral:lncRNA from 1 species
AUCAUUUUGUUAACUUAUACAUAACUUUAGAAUAAUCACCGUUACAUCAAAGCUCAAGAGUGAACCAUUUAAAAAAAAUGCAUAUUAAGCUAGCAGAUGAAAGUCACCACCUUCUUGAAUAAGGCACCACACAUAAGCUAAACACGUCAACUAUACUUCAUUUCCUAAAUCUCAUAGUAACUCAGUCUACUUAAUACCUGCAAAAAAGAAAAAUAUAUGAAUAUGAACACAACUUUAAUUCAGAGUAGCAAAUACCCAAAACAGAAGAUGACCUUUUAUAGAAUGUUGAAAAAAGACAAUCUUAACAAUUCACUAUCCUGUUCAAAGCUCCUUAACACAUAUUUCAAACAAAUGAUCUAAUUGAACUCUGCUUAAAAAUGUUUAAACGACACAAUCUGUACAGUUAUUAUCGUUACCAAAGCUCAUUAACAAAGAUUUCUAUCCAGUUAAACAAACAGAUUGCUUGAAGUUCCUAACACAAAAGAAACAAAAAGAGUGAAAUCCUCAUUCACGAGACAAAACACGAAAAGAUUCUUCCUCAAAAACUGUGCCAACUUUAGAAGUCUCAUCACUUAUGCGUUUACAGAUCGAAGCUCACUCUCGGUUACGGAGUUGGUGCCGAAGAGGAGGAGUAAAGAGAUGAAGCAGAGAGUGAGAGUGAGGAGAGGACUCAUUUAGCCCGGAGAGAAUGGAAACAGAAGAAGUAAGCCGUAAAGAUUCAUUAUCUGAGAGAGAUAAUAAGAAAGAGAUUCAAGAUUUUUAUUCAAAACCUUCCAUUCUGAAAUUUGGAAGAGGGAAG